ensembl:lncRNA
CUGAGGAAUGAUUUGUAGGGAAGGAGAGGAGCCUGAGGAAUGAUUUGUAGGGACGGAGAGGUGCCUGAGGAAUGAUUUGUAGGGAAGGAGAGGUGCCUGAGGAAUGAUUUGUAGGGAAGGAGAGGAGCCUGAGGAAUGAUUUGUAGGGACGGAGAGGUGCCUGAGGAAUGAUUUGUAGGGAAGGAGAGGAGCCUGAGGAAUGAUUUGUAGGGAAGGAGAGGUGCCUGAGGAAUGAUUUGUAGGGAAGGAGAGGAGCCUGAGGAAUGAUUUGUAGGGACGGAGAGGUGCCUGAGGAAUGAUUUGUAGGGAAGGAGAGGAGCCUGAGGAAUGAUUUGUAGGGAAGGAGAGGUGCCUGAGGAAUGAUUUGUAGGGAAGGAGAGGAGCCUGAGGAAUGAUUUGUAGGGAAGGAGAGGAGCCUGAGGAAUAAUUUGUAGGGACGGAGAGGUGCCUGAGGAAUGAUUUGUAGGGAAGGAGAGGUGCCUGAGGAAUGAUUUGUAGGGAGGGAGAGGUGCCUGAGGAAUGAUUUGUAGGGAAGGAGAGGUGCCUGAGGAAUGAUUUGUAGGGACGGAGAGGUGCCUGAGGAAUGAUUUGUAGGGAAGGAGAGGAGCCUGAGGAAUGAUUUGUAGGGAAGGAGAGGUGCCUGAGGAAUGAUUUGUAGGGAAGGAGAGGAGCCUGAGGAAUGAUUUGUAGGGACGGAGAGGUGCCUGAGGAAUGAUUUGUAGGGAAGGAGAGGAGCCUGAGGAAUGAUUUGUAGGGAAGGAGAGGAGCCUGAGGAAUGAUUUGUAGGGAAUGAGAGGUGCCUGAGGAAUGAUUUGUAGGGAAGGAGAGGAGCCUGAGGAAUGAUUUGUAGGGAAGGAGAGGAGCCUGAGGAAUAAUUUGUAGGGACGGAGAGGUGCCUGAGGAAUGAUUUGUAGGGAAGGAGAGGAGCCUGAGGAAUGCUCUUCAGGUGUACAGUCGUUGAUUUUAGAGGUGGAAGAGAGAAGUGCUCAGACUCAAAGGGCUUUGGACUGGCCGUGAGCCAGCAAGCAAACACUGGGCGCCUAUGAGGAGAACCGCUAUGGUGCUGGGGGGAGGUCAGAAAUAGUUGGCUCAUUUUCCAUCUGCAUAUCCAACGAUAGAGAAAUGAUAUAUUCUUCUCUGGAGACCGUGACAUAAAGUUCUAGCCUAAUCAUCAACCAUUCCCCACUCACUCAAACACACGCCUACACAGUACUAUCAGAUGUCUAAACUUGAAGAUUUACAGUAAAAAGGAGCUCUCUUUUUGGGAAGUUGCCUUGGCGAUGGGCCAACAGGGAGUCCGCCUGCUUUGUGUGUAUGUAUGUGUGUGUGCGUGUGUGUGUUGUUGUUGUGACUCAGUGUUUGUGGGCUGCAGAUAACUGUGUCAAAAUUAAAAGCAAAUGUGUCCCAUCUCAAAUGGAUUUUAGGGCUUUAGUAAGAAAAUAACAGUCCUCAGUUUGCCGUGGCAGAUGUUUGUCAGAGUCUAAGAAUGUACUGUACAGACACUGUACAGAUACUAUCUUAAUUUGACCAGUUUCGCACUGCAGGAAAAUAAUCCUGCAGGAACAGGAAAUGUGAAUUAUUAUGUGGAUUGUAAUUAAUGGACGUUUUUAUAGGGGCUGAUUCAUUGUUUUUUUUUAAAU